rnacentral:rRNA from 1 species
GACAGAGGUGCCGAGCGUUAGGCGGAAUCACUGGGCUUAAAGCGUGUGUAGGCGGAUUCCUAAGUACCUUGUGAAAUCCCACGGCUUAACCGUGGAACUGCUUGGUAUACUGGGUGUCUUGAGCCAACUAGAGGCAGUCGGAACAAACGGUGGAGCGGUGAAAUGCGUAGAUAUCGUUUGGAACGCCAAUGGUGAAAACAGACUGCUGGGGUUGUGCUGACGCUGAGACACGAAAGCCAGGGGAGCGAACGGGAGUUAGAUGAUC